UUCACGACUUGAAGGACUCGA
ensembl:piRNA 21ur-621 ncRNA